rnacentral:lncRNA from 1 species
UAUUUCAUAUAAUAAAAUAGGGAUAAUUGAUUUAAAUAAUAACAACAAUGAAAAACAGUGUAGACAAUACACAUUUUUGAAGCUUUUGCAUGUAUAUUCUGCAUUAGCAAUGCUUUAGGUCUGGAAAAGUGUGGAUUAACAUAUAAUUUGCUCUGCCUAGUGUGUUGUUAUUAGUUUUGUUGAAUGUGACACUGUUUCUGAAGCUGUCAAAGAUAGAACAUGCUGCUCAGUCCUUUUACCGUCUCCGCCUCCAAGAAGAGAAAUCUUUAAAUUUAGCCUCUGAUAUGGUGUCAAGAGCAGAAACUAUUCAGAAGAAUAAAGAUCAGGCCCAUCGUUUAAAGGGAGUGCUCCGAGACUCCAUAGUGAUGCUUGAACAGCUGAAGAGCUCACUCAUUAUGCUUCAGAAAACGUUUGAUCUACUAAAUAAGAAUAAGACUGGCAUGGCUGUUGAAAGCUAGUGAUCUGAAGGACUAAAACCGCAGAGAUACUUGGAACUUAAAGAAAAUACCUGGAAGAAAACCAGACGAAUGAAGGAUUUUGGCAUAGAACAUUUCUAUGUUUUUUCAUUAUUGAGAUUUCUAAUAUGAACAUUUCUUUCAGUAACAUUUAUUUGAUAAUUAGUUUCUGCUGGCCUUAAUAAUCCAUCCUUUCACUUCUUAUAGAUAUUUUUAAGCUGUGAAUUUCUUCAGUGAACCAUGAAAUAUAUUAUAGAACUGAAUUUCUCUGAUACAAAAAGAAAA